UACAGAGGGUGCGAGCGUUGUCCGGAAUCACUGGGCGUAAAGGGCGCGUAGGCGGCUUCUUAAGCGUGUCGUGAAAGCGCGGGGCUCAACCCCGGCGUCGGCGAUGCGAACUGGGGAGCUGGAGCACGUCAGAGGCAGGCGGAAUUCCGGGUGUAGCGGUGGAAUGCGUAGAGAGUCCGGAAGAACACCGGUGGCGAAGGCGGCCUGCUGGGACGUGGCUGACGCUGAGGCGCGACAGCGUGGGGAGCAAACAGG
rnacentral:rRNA from 1 species